GAAACAUGUCUCGUUUUCCUUCUUCUUCUUUUCUCAUUUUUUUCUUUCUUCUUUUCAUUUUCUUCUUUGCUUUUUGUUCCUUUGGGGAAGAAAUAAAAACAACAAAAGAGAAGAUGUACACACACACGAAAAAAAAACCUCAACGGAAAUGA
rnacentral:ribozyme from 12 species